GCCGAAAUAGCUGUUGGGAGAGCGUUAGACUGAAGAUCUAAAGGUCCCUGGUUCGAUCCCGGGUUUCGGCA